AUUUGUUAAUUAAAGAAAACUGUUUAAAUGACUGCUUUAUUUAUUUGUCUUUUUUUAAAGACUUGUUUGGCCUAUUUUAAAUAUGCAUUACAUGGUGUUGAAGUAUGGAACAGAAGCAAUGCUGGUUCAUAAGGCUUAUUGACUGUUGCCACAGGUCAGAUCUGAUAGCUCAGUGGGUAAGUUGUAGGUUUACCAUUCAGCCGGUCUCCACAAGUUUGGUGUUUUAACCCCUGCCAUCGCCAAGGGAAAAUGUUAACUUUCCUUUUGAAAUCUAAUAGUUUGUCGAUGUUUUAACAUUAAACUGUAAAUCUAUUUGUUAAUUAAAGAGACCUGUUCAAAAUAUUGCUUUAUUUAUUUUUUUUUUUGAAGACUUGCUUUGCCUACUUUUAAUAUAAGUUACAUGGUGUUGAAGUAUGUAAAAGAAGCCAUGUUGGUUCAUUAGGCUUAUUGACUGCUUGGAUACACGGGAGCAGGUAGCUCAGUGGGUUAGUUGUUGGUAUACCGUUUAGCAUGUUCACACAAGGUUGUGGGUUCAAGCCCCACCAUCGCCACGGUAAGAUUUCUCUUUUGAAAUCUAAUAGUUUGUCUAUUUUGUGACAUUAAACUGUAAAUUUAUUUGUUACUUUGAGAAACCUGUUCAAAAGAUUGCUUUAUUUCUUUGUCUUUUUUGAAAUACUUGUUUGGCCUACUUUUAAUAUAAGUUACAUGGUGUUGAAGUAUGGAAAGAAGCCAUGUUGGUACAUUAGGCUUAUUGACCGCUUGGACCCGUGGGAGCAGGUAGCUCAGUGGGUAAGAUGUUGGGUUACCGAUCAGCAGGUCCCCACAACGUUGAGGUUUCAAGGUUCUAGUUCAUUGGUGAACAGUGGAACCAAAGAAUACUCUUCAUUGAACACAGACACUGGACAGUCUUCUACAUCUGACAAACAUGACAGUGGCGAAUCAUCUUCACCAAUUAAUUCAAAUGUGGAGGUCAUGAUGCUUGAGUUGAAAAGGGAUGGUGGAAGCAGUUCACAGUGUGGCUGGUUUGAAUGAAGAGACAAGCACUUACAAAACACCAUCUUUAGCACUGAAGCUUGGGCACAACCUCAAGAAUAUGGCAAACAUUAUUGAAUGGAAUGUGAGGCGAUGAUGUCCGCUGAUAAGAACACCUUUAGCAAUGUGCAAGCCUUUAAACAAAUCUGCAAAACUAAAUGGAGUGAGUGUGUCUCAUUCCAGGCCCUCUGAAAUUUGAGCAAGGCAAAGUGGAACUCUUUGCAACUUCUUCCCUUAUUAUUCGUCAGAUUAAUUAGUCUCGAAAUUCGUCUCAAAGCUGUGGAGCAGAACAACAGAAGCGUUAUCCUCCACUGGACUGAGAAAGCACAUGGCCACUAUGUCCAAGGUCCUUAAUUUGAAAGACAAUGAAAUGGAUGACCUUGCUGACUUUUUUAGGACACAACAUCAGGGUGCAUCGGCAGUACUACAGGCUACCUGAAGUUACAUUACAGCUGGCGAAGAUAAGUACAGUUCUUCUUGCUAUGGAGAGAGGACAACUAUCUCAAUUCAAAGUAAGGAAUCUAGAAACAAGGUAAAACAGGCCUGAGUAAAUAAAGAUGUUUUAAAAAUCUAAAAUUCCAUGUUAUGAUUAACAGGAACACCAUGUUGGUUAUAGAUUAUUUGAUGGAUGUAGCAGUUUAAAAAAUAUUUUUCCACUUAUUUAGCUGUAAUCAUUUUCCCUGUGGUUGCUGUGUUUACUAGAGAGAGUACUGAUGGACAAUUAAGGAUCAGACUCUGAAAAUGAUAAAGAAAACGAUGCUUCACCUCCACCCUCAAAUUCUGCAGCAUAUUUACAAAACCCAUGGAGAAACAGAGGAGGUCCAGGCUGUGGAAAAGACUCUAAUGGACUACAUCAGUUCUAGCAAGGUUCCUGUUAAAGGCCAGUGCAUGAAGUGCAUUGGAAAAUCCCCAGCAGCACUUCAAGGGAGAGGUUGGGAGGCAGUCAAAUUUAAUGUAAAAAAUCGCAUUGAUUCCAUGAAAUGAAAAAUGUAAAGGUAGAAAUCUUUAAUGGAUGUUUUUUUUUUUUCAUGUAUGUUAAAGGCAACAUGUUCAUAAACAUUUUAGUUCAAGGUGGUUGUUAAUAAUGGUUGUACAUCAAAUAUCUUCUACUUCUACCUAAUAUUUAUAUAGAUAUAUUAUAUAGCAAUAUAUCUCGCAACACAGUUGAUCACAUGCAUGUUCUGUUUUAAUUUAAAUAGAUUCCAGUAUGCACAGAUCAUUAUUUAUUUUAGACCAUGAUGGUGUAAAUGAACAUUAACAUUUCCUGCUUGUCAUAUAACAUGACUGUUGUAGAUACCAAAAUGUGGAACUUUGCAGACUCUCAGAAUUGAAGAGAAUUGAAUGUGUUAAACAGGAAGAGAGGUAAGGCUUUUUUACUGUUUACUUUCUUAGAAAUUGUCUAUUCAAAUACAAGAGGUAAUGGGAAACAGUGAAAAGCGAAAUAAUAAAAAAAAAAUAAAAAGAUAAAAACAGUUAAAUUCUCCCUUUUUAUCUUCAUCUUUGUUAAUGUUAUACACAGUUAUAAUUGCAUAUAAAUUGGAUAAUCUGCAGAUAAUGUAUAAUAGUGAUACCUAGAGGUGGUAAGAAAAAAUAGGGAUGUCCCCACCAGAAUAGAAAAAACUGACAAAAAUUUAGCUCUUUAAACUUGUGUAUUUCUGAAAAUAAAGAAAAAAAAAUUUGUGGCCUUAAUGUAUUUAGAAAUCGGUGUUCCCACGAGUAACCACCCAGUCAGGAGUCCCCACCAUGUAGCAAAAACAAGUAUGUGUGUGUGUGCGUGUGUGUGUGUGUGUGUGUGUGUGUGUGUGUGUGUGUGUGUGUGUUUGUGUUUGUGUUUGGUGUGUGCAGUCUCUGAACAAGGGCAACCCAAAGAAAGUGAGCAAGCCAUCACACCUUGUGACCUAGGAGGAAAAUUGGUGGAAAAUCUGGAUCAAAUUAGUGGCAGAUGGAUGACAUCACCUGGAGGCCAGAACAUGAGAUGAGUGCCUAGAUUGUGCAACCCCCCAUGACCCUGGUGUGACCCCUGUAACCUCACCAUACAAACCUCCCCUUAAUGUGUGAGACAAUGCUUUCUCUAUCAGUGAGGAGACAGCUGAGCACAGACACUCUCCCCGCUGGCGCUUGUUAAAACUACAACCAUGUGAACACUGAAGGCUCGGGUUGAGGGUCUCUCUCUCCCUCUCUCUUUACCUCCAAGGGAAGAAGAGGUAUGUAUUUACACCUGCAGCAGGAUGGACAGAGAAAAAGACUGGAAGGAGGAGGAACAUGGUGGUGUUUAGCUCAUAAAUCACAGCAGAGGUUGAAGCUUCAUCAUCUGCUGGCAUCCACAGAAAGAUGGACGAUGGUGCAGUGAGCAGCUUCUUUAAUUCAGCGAGCAAUCAGUGUGAUGGAAAACCUAUCGGGUGGACGCACAGCAACACCAGCGGCUACAUCACACUCACUCUCUUUAUAUUUAUGGAAGCAUUGUGCAUGUGAGUGUAGUGUAGUGCAAUAUAACAGUAUAACUGUAUAGCAUUACAAAGGUUUAAAGAUAAAUAUAACAUUACAGACUGGUAUUGUCAGUUUGUUAUGACUAUAAGAAAAAAAAAAAAAAAACUAUAAAAGAUGAAAAAAAAAAAAAAAAACUUGCAUGGCCUAAAAAAAAGAGACUUUGAAACUGCAUGGCCUAUUUCUAGCCCUAACCCUAACCCUUAGCUCCCACUCUGAUUUCAUGAGCUUUAAAUAUUAGUGCAUAAUCUUAACUCAAAAUGUAAAAUGUACUCUUAAUUGCUAACAUUACAAUUUUUUUUUGCAUUUACUCCACUUGGCAGACUCCCUUAUGUAGAGCAUCAUGCAUUUAAAUUAUUUGCAUAGAGGGUUAAGGGCCUUGUUUAAGAGCUCAGCAGUGGCAGCUUGGUAGUGCUGAUGAUCUUUACAUCUUCCCCAUUGAGCAACCGCUGUCUAUACUGUUUAAUAGUUUAUAUAGUAUCUUCUUCUUCUUCUUCUUCUUCUUUCGGCUGCUCCCAUUAGGGGUCGCCACAGCGGAUCAUCCGUCUCCACACCACCCUGUCCUCUAC